GGUAGCUUGGUGAUAUCAAUGGGAAGAGUAGGCCUGUUCAUGCCAAAACUCCAACCAAGAACAUAUUGCCGUGAAAUGAAUGAACCUGUCGAUGAUGAGAAACCGACAUAUGCCUUGUCUCCGAGCACUCUUGAUAGGUUGUAGGUAGUAGAGAGCAGCAGUUUGAAUGGUUUGGCCACGUUUAAGGGAGACAAGGUCACAUUGAUCUGUGUGUUAUCCUCAUCAUAUUCCACCCACACCUGCAUCACUUUGUAGCUUGCUAGUGUCAAGUUGUGGAAGUUACCAUUUCUGUUGUCGUAGUACCCAGCACUGCUGGAAUUCGCAGAAUUGAGCCCGUUGAUGUCGAUGCCAACAUGGUUGUUGUCUAUGUCCUUGAAUUCAUCAUUACAGUUGGUGUCGAGCUCAACAGCAAAGAAGUGGUUGGUCACAUUUCCGUUGCUGUGUUCAUUGAUGAGUCCCAUGUACUGCAUCGGCAUUGUGUUCGAGAAGUUCUUGUGUGCGGCAAGAAGGAAGGCGAUGCCAUGACCACAGAUGUCGGGCUGGACACAGUAGAUGGCAAAGAUGAAGGAGAGAGCAAAUGACUGUACUGUGCCGUGGGGUUCUUUGCUGACGUGGAUUGGGGUCGGGUGGAAGGCAUGGCCUUUGAGACGAGCAGUGCCAUUAGUGAGUUCAAGUAGGCCAUUUGGUGUGAUGGUAGCUGCACCAUCAAGGGUGAGGUUCGCACUGGUGAAACCUGAGUAGACAAAUUGGUCUCUGCCAAUUCCAAAGGCUGAGAGGUUUAGGUGAAGGAAGAACAGGUGUAGAAUCAGCAGCAAGAACAAGGGAUUCAUGUAAGAGUAUGACAUGAGUAUUAUUGACUCAAUGAGGACGCUAGGACAUAGGCUUCACCACUACUGAAUGAACUUGCACUACAUUCAGCAGUUUAUAUUUUUGCACUGGAGCUAGCCAUUCUGUUACCAAGUCUAUACAGCAUGGGCUCGUAAGUUGCUUGUCAACUUCCUAUUCUUUCAAGCUUUUUCACAGAUAUCACUACCUGACUAUGAGUGCAUUUAAUAUAUCUAAGAUGAGAUUUUUCAUUUAGUCAUGUUUUGUUAGAAUAAUUGGCCGUAGUCUAUACGGCAUGGACAUGUGGCUUGCUUGUCAAGGUCCUAUUCCUUUAAACUUUUCAUAGGUAUAUCACUACCAGAGGGUAUGUGUGCAUUUAUUAUAUCUAAAAUUAGAUUUUUCUUUUAGUCAUGUUUUGUUAGAAAUGUCUGAUAUUUUCUAGCAUAGCAGGACAUCCAAAUCGACAGUGGAAAGUUCAGUGGAAUAGUUGAACUUACACAUGCUAUCUAAAUUGAGAAGCAAAUCUGACCUUGGAAUACAGGAAAAGACCUGAUACCUCGUUGGAAUAUUUCUGUACCAUAUUUUUGGCUCCCUCGAACUUGAUUAUUUUUUCCUCUUUUUUUGAUUGUAUGGCAGUCAUUAGUCCAUGUGGACCAACCAUGGCACCUCGGCAUUUAAGAACAGCAGGAAUUCCUGAACCCACUUUUGUCAAUCAAGCAUCUUGGCUCACGCAGCGGUAACUUAGAUUGUGACUGGAACGGGAAGACAUUAUAUGUGAUAUAAUUCAUGAACGGUAUAUGUGGAACAUCUGUUCAUCGGUAUUUCAUACAACCAAGGCAACGGAGAAAAUUGAGAUUGAGAUUUGUGACGCUAAUGCCAAACACCAUGUUGACUGGGAACCAAGGACCACAAUCUGUGGAAUGGCACCGGAGCUGAAUAGGAUGUAUGACCUUUUAGAUUCUGCAGGCUUGCAUUAUUGCAGUUUUGGUUUCAUACGGGCUGUCAAUUUACAUAUGAAGUCGUGAAUGAAGUUCUUUGGCCACAGAAUUGAAGUCUUGGGUACGCUAUUCUUCACACACUUCUGUUGAAGGCAAUGGAACUGGAGAGAUAACACGGCAAUCCAGACCCGAACAAGACCUCUGUGGAUGAUAACGUUCGAGUUUAUGUGAAGCUUGCUCCGUCCCCUGUCUAACUUUGAUUUCUCCAGCCAGAUGCUGUCCAUAAGUGAGGCAAGUGUUGUCUUGUUAUUAACUUGUGUUGUACGUCUUUGAGCUAUCUCUUGAACCGUUCAAACCAAAUACUUAAGGACAGCCAAGUGCAGGGGUGACUAAAGGAAAAUAGAAUGUGUCGUGUGUGGUUUGUGAGUGCACAGGUCCACAGAAAAUGUAAGAGACUUCCCUGCUGAACUUCCAAGUACUGAUUGAGGCAACAAUAUUUCUUCAUAC